CCAGCCAAGGGAGGUACUAAAAUCAUCGUGCCAAGCCGUGGAUGCAUCCAGGGUAUAGUGGAGAGUGAUCGUAACGUAUACCCAGGAGAUUAUCGAGGAUGUCACUCGAUCAAUUCCUUGUCUUGUUGACGUCACUAAACGUCACCAAAAUAACACCAGAGUUGGGAUUAACUACUGCUCAAAAUAUUCAAGUUGAAAACUCCAAUGUAAUAUUGAUAAUGUGAAAAAAAGGUGUCAAAAGAACAGUUGAUAAAUGUCGAAACUUCUUUCCUUUUCAAGGCCAAGUUGAUAAUAAUCUUUUUUGUUUUUGUUGGGAGGUCAGGCUGUAUCAUUUUCUUCAUACAAGUAGGUCGCAAUAUGGCUGAAAUAUUGACAUACUGACUAUAAUUUUUAACUCACUCAUACAAGUAGUUUUUCUGUCCCAGUCCACAGUAUUCCAGGGGCGGUGGGGUAGCCUAGUGGUUAAAGUGUUCGCUCGUCAAGCAGAAGACACAGGUUCAAUUCCCUGAAAUAUUGCUAAAAGCGGCAUUAAACUAAAUUCACUCACAGUAUUCCAAAUAAGAACCUCACAUGCAUCUUGGUGCAAAGUGACAUACAGGUAGUUCUGAAUUCUGAACUACACCCUGUGCAUGUGCCUUGUAGAAGAUGAAACUCUAUCUAUCUGAUAAUAGCAUUCUGAUAUGUUUCAGAUGAGAAAAGAGCAUGAAAAAAUAUGUUAAUUUUUUGCAGUGACUUUCUUAAUGGAGGGGAAUGUUUUGAAUUCCAGAAUGAGCGUAAAGGAAAUUUUCAGAUACUCAUAUAGAGACUUUGUAUCAGUUAUAGUGUUCAUGAUUUCCACCUGUUUGAUUAUGAUAUCUUUAUCAAGUGCUCACCAUUUACAUGUUGGAUUGUGAUAUUUAUACAGAGUGCUUCCGGACUGUGAUAUGUUGUGUUACAGUACAGACUUUGUUAACAAUGGCAUGUUGUUUUACUGUUGUUUUAAACAACUGUUUAUUUCAAUAAAUAUGUGAUUGUUUAAA